CAAACCUUUCGGUUGGUGAACCUGCGGAAGGAUCAUUACCGAGUGCGGGCCCUCUGGGUCCAACCUCCCACCCGUGUCUACCGUACCUUGUUGCUUCGGCGGGCCCGCCGCCAGGCCGCCGGGGGCUCUGCCCCGGGCCCGCGCCCGCCGAAGACACCCCUGAACGCUGUCUGAAGAAUGCAGUCUGAGCGAUUAGCGAAAUUAGUUAAAACUUUCAACAACGGAUCUCUUGGUUCCGGCAUCGAUGAAGAACGCAGCGAAAUGCGAUACGUAAUGUGAAUUGCAGAAUUCAGUGAAUCAUCGAGUCUUUGAACGCACAUUGCGCCCCCUGGUAUUCCGGGGGGCAUGCCUGUCCGAGCGUCAUUGCUGCCCUCAAGCCCGGCUUGUGUGUUGGGCCACGUCCCCCCCCGGGGGGACGGGCCCGAAAGGCAGCGGCGGCACCGCGUCCGGUCCUCGAGCGUAUGGGGCUUCGUCACCCGCUCUUGCAGGCCCGGCCGGCGCCCGCCGACCCCCAACCAUUCUUUCUCAGGUGACCUCGGAUCAGGUAGGAGACCCGUUCCU
rnacentral:rRNA from 1 species